UACAGAGGGUGCAAGCGUUGUUCGGAAUUAUUGGGCGUAAAGGGCGCGUAGGCGGUGCGGUAAGUCUGCAGUGAAAUCUCUGGGCUCAACUCAGAGUCUGCUGUAGAAACUGCCGUGCUUGAGUGUGGGAGAGGUGAGUGGAAUUCCCGGUGUAGCGGUGAAAUGCGUAGAUAUCUGCAGGAACACCCGUGGCGAAGGCGGCUCGCUGGACCGCAACUGACGCUGAGGAACGAAAGCUAGGGGAGCAAACAGG
rnacentral:rRNA from 1 species